GGGUCAGUAGGUUGGUCGUGCCACCGGUACGUACUGGUCUCACUGAUUCCUCCUUCCUGAAGAACCGUAAUGCCAUUAAUUUGGUGUUGCGGGGAAACAGGACUGUUACUUUGAAAAAAUUAGAGUGUUUAAAGCAAGCUAACGCUUGAAUACAUUAGCAUGGAAUAAUGAAUUAGGACGAUCGAUCCUAUUUUGUUGGUUUCUAGGAUUGACGUA
rnacentral:rRNA from 1 species